UGGGGAAUCUUGCACAAUGGGGGCAACCCUGAUGCAGCGACGCCGCGUGAGCGAUGAAGCCCUUCGGGGCGUAAAGCUCUUUCGACCGGAACGAUAAUGACGGUACCGGGAGAAGAAGCUGCGGCCAACUACGUGCCAGCAGCCGCGGUAAUACGUAGGCAGCAAGCGUUGUUCGGAGUUACUGGGCGUAAAGAGUGCGUAGGCGGUUUUCUAAGUUCGGUGUGAAAUCUCCCGGCUUAACUGGGAGGGUGCGCCGAAGACUGGGAAGCUGGAGUGUGGGAAAGGCAGGCGGAAUUCCUGGUGUAGCGGUGAAAUGCGUAGAUAUCAGGAGGAACACCGGCGGUGUAGACGGCUUGCUAGACCAUAACUGACGCUGAGGCACGAAAGCGUGGGUAGCAAACA
rnacentral:rRNA from 1 species